rnacentral:rRNA from 1 species
GGUUGACCUCGAAUCAGGUAGGAAUACCCGCUGAACUUAAGCAUAU